rnacentral:tRNA from 1 species
GGCUUUGUGGCGGAAUUGGUAGACGCGCUGGAUUCAAAACCCGGUUCUUAUGGAGUGAGGGUUCAAGUCCCUUCGAAGCUA